UCCGCCAAGCAGUUACAGUCUGAUCACUGG
rnacentral:piRNA from 1 species